CCUACGGGGGGCUGCAGUGGGGAAUAUUGGACAAUGGGGGGAACCCUGAUCCAGCCAUGCCACGUGUGUGAAGAAGGCCCUCGGGUUGUAAAGCACUUUCAGUGAGGAAGAACGCCUGGUGGUUAAUACCCAUCAGGAAAGACAUCACUCACAGAAGAAGCACCGGCUAACUCCGUGCCAGCAGCCGCGGUAAUACGGAGGGUGCGAGCGUUAAUCGGAAUUACUGGGCGUAAAGCGCGCGUAGGUGGCUUGAUAAGCCGGUUGUGAAAGCCCCGGGCUCAACCUGGGAACGGCAUCCGGAACUGUCAAGCUAGAGUGCAGGAGAGGAAGGUAGAAUUCCCGGUGUAGCGGUGAAAUGCGUAGAGAUCGGGAGGAAUACCAGUGGCGAAGGCGGCCUUCUGGACUGACACUGACACUGAGGUGCGAAAGCGUGGGUAGCAAACAGGAUUAGAUACCCGUGUAGUC
rnacentral:rRNA from 1 species